rnacentral:rRNA from 1 species
CGCGUAGGCGGUUUGGUAAGUCGGAUGUGAAAGCCCCGGGCUUAACCUGGGAAUUGCAUUCGAUACUGCUUGACUAGAGUAUGGUAGAGGGAAGUGGAAUUCCAGGUGUAGCGGUGAAAUGCGUAGAUAUCUGGAGGAACAUCAGUGGCGAAGGCGACUUCCUGGACCAAUACUGACGCUGAGGUGCGAAAGCGUGGGGAGCAAACA